rnacentral:lncRNA from 1 species
AAAAACUUCUCUAGCUGCUGUGUCACAAAGAUACUGGAAAGGGGCAAGGUGAAGGAGGAGACCAGCAGAGCAGCCACGGCCGGGACAGUGCAGAGGAGGGAAGAUGACACAGCUGUGAGACAUUUUGGGGAAUAGGUCCUUCUGUCACGGGGCACAGGACCCUUGACCGCAAAAUGACGUGAGUUACCACUGACUAUUUUCUGGGUCUUGAUCUUGUGACUCCAAAUGGAUGCAUUUUAGGACCCAAAGGGACCUAAGAGAGUGCUCAGACAGCUGGCUGCGUUAGGAGCUACCUGUGGCUGCUGAAGAAGAGUUUGCGUCAAUUUAAAGAAAGAGCCAUUCAAGGAAUGAGGACCAUGACCUUGGCUGCACUGACCAGCUGGGCUCUGGAGACUCAGUGAGGCUGCCCAGCCACCAACAGGCCCUGCACAAUAGAUCCACGGACCCAGCAGUCAGAGGUGACCCUAGGGGUCACUGGCCCGUGGCUAAGGAGGAGGAGCACAGACCUGCGACCCCCUUUUCCCAUGGACCACCCAGGGAGGCUGAGCGGGGACUCUGAGCUCAGAUGGACAACCUCAGAGCCACUGGGAAUUUGCCUGAGGCCACUGGGGCCAGGGUUAAAUCCAUAUGAAGCAGCGCGGGCUGUGCACCUGCCAUUUUCUAGGCUCUGUCACAUGCAUCUUUCUGCCAAAUCUCAUGGUGAUCCUUCAAGAAUAGUACUAUUAAUCUCCCCAUUGACAGAGGGAGAAAGGGAGGCUCAGAGACGUUAAGUGUCUCACCAAAGCUCACACAGCUUCCAAGCAAUAGAACUUUACUCAGUACUCAGUACAGGUUAACAUUUAUUCAUUCACUCGAUAACCAUUUGCAGCACAGCUACCAUAUGCCAGGCAGUGUUCUAGGCACUUAGAAUACAUAGAUGAGCAAAACAGGCAAAACCUUUCCCUCAGGGCGUUACCAUUUGAGUGCCACCAUGCCACGGCUGGUACAGUUGCUAUUGAGACAAACAAAAUAAGACCCAGUUUUUGCCUUUGGGGAGUAGGUAGUCUAGUGGAGGAGGCACAUACACAGAAAAUUCCAAAGUACUGUGGAAAUCUCAGGGUACUUUGAUAGGGAUUACCAGAGGAGCUGUGAGAAUAAAGGCUGGAUAUCAGGGAAGGCUUCCUGGAAGAGGUGUUGCCUGAAAUGAGCCUGGAAGGAUCACUUAGGGACAGAAAAGUCAUUCCGUGUAGAAUUCAUGGUACAGCUUGAGCAAAGACACAGAAGCAGAAGGCAGGUUUUUGGUUCCAUGAACUCUACAUCUGGCUACAUACAAAUGGUGAAGAGGAACAGGGAGAAACAUGGUUGAAAAGAACAGGCUUGGACUUCAGGAAGCAGUAAAAUGAGCGAAUGCCAUUUAUGGUUACAAAGAUAACUCAGCUGGGGGCCAAACAGAGACUGAAAUGGAGUGGGUGAGGAUGGAGGCCGGGAGGAGAUGGCUGCAGAGGUCCCAGCAAUGACAGUGGUUGUGGGAAGGGGCAACCCCAAGUCUUGUGCUCCCAACUGCAAAUCCAGUGCUUUUUCUAAAAAAAUAUUUAAAUAAUUUAUUUAUUUUUGAGAUGGAGUCUCGCUCUGUCACCCAGGCUGGAGUGCAGUGACACAAUGUCGGCUCGUGCAACCUCUGCCCCCCGGGUUCAAGCGAUUCUCCUGCCUCAGCCUCCCAAGUAGCUGGGAUUACAGACGCACGCCUCCACGCCUGGCUAAUUUUUUAUAUUUUUGGUAGAGAUGGGGUUUCACCAUGUUGCCCAGGCUGGUCUCGAACUCCUGACUUCAAGUGAUCCACCCACCUCGGCCUCCCAAAGUACUAGGAUGACAGGCGUGAGCCACUGUGCCCAGCCUUAUUUUUUUUUUUAAUUUAUAUUUUCAGAGGCAAACGAUCCUUGCUCAUUAAAAAAAGGAAAUAGAAAUUCAAAACAAAAAUGCCUGUAUCUGAUGGGAAAGAUGAGCCCAAUGUUCUUUUUUAAAAAACCUUUAUUAUGAAAUAUUUCAACUGAACAUAUGCAGUUUAUAUUGUUAUAAAGCAUAACAAGCAAUCAAACAGCUGUGAACCCACCACUCCAUGUCAGAACUAGAACUUCCCAAAGCAGUCGGAGCUGAGGUGAGAUCCACUCUGAUGCCCUUCCCCAACUCCACGCCACCCCCCAAGACCUGACCACCUGAUUACUCUGGGAUUUCAUUUUUGUCUCGUUCCCUUGCUUUGCUUUAUGUCUUUACCAAAUGUGAAUGUGUGCCUAAACAAUACAGUGCUCGAUUUGCUUGUGUUUAAGCUUUAUUACAAAUAUAACUUUGAUCCUUCU